GCUUGGGUACUGGAAAAAUGCGAUUCACCUAUUAUGCAAGAAUAAAAUUAACAAAGGACUAUGUUUUCCAAGUCUCAGGUCAUAAACAAUUAUUAAAGUGAAACUUGAUCAAACCUCUAUAAAUGGAACUUAGGAAUACAGUUAUGACUUAAUGUUAUGAGAGAUGUAACAAUAAAAUUUCACCAUAGUCACCUUAAGAGAUGGUUGGCCGUCUGAUCGAGUCCUCACAAUCCACUUCAGGCGGAAAGAAAUUUAUAAUUUCCGCUUUGACUGGGAAUGAAACCCGAUUCUCCCGGACUCACAGUCUCUUUAAAAAUCCUUUUAGCCAAACGUCAUAAGAAACUUGCCUGGCCUACUAGAUUAUAUAAGCAGGUUUGAUAGGCAUCAAAAAUUAAACCAUGGCAUUGAUAAAUAAUUUAAUUGGAAACUUUGGUAAAUAUCAACUAUGUCUGUGUCUUAUUGUUUUCACCAGUAAAUUCGGUGUAGCAUUUCAUCAAAUGGCAAUAUUGUAUCUGGCGCCACCAGUACGUUACAGUUGUCCAAACGAUAAAACCUGCUGCGAUAAUCCCGUCUAUGACAAAUCAGUUUUCACAAGGACCAUUGUUAUGGAGUGGAAUUUAAUAUGUGAAAAGGCGUGGUUAAAAGACUUCACCCAAACGCUCUUUCAAUUCGGUGUUCUAAGCGGAAGUCUCUUGUUUGGCAUUGCCUCUGACAGAUUUGGCAGAAGACCCACAUUGUUAUUGGCGGUGCUCCUUGAAAUCUUCUUGGGAGUUAUGUCAUCUUUUCUUCCGGACUAUUGGAGUUUCACUAUCGUUCGGAUGUUUCUUGGAUUAUCUGUGGGAGGAAUAAUGGUCGUUGGAUUUGUGCUUAUUGUGGAAUAUGUUGGAGGGGCUUAUAAAGAUUCUAUAUCGGCACUUUUUCACAUUCCAUUCACUCUUGGUCAUAUAUUGUUAGCACUGUUUGGCUUUCUAAUAAGAGAUUAUGUUCAUUUUCAAUUGGGGAUAUCUUUGGCAACUAUAGUACUUCUUAUAUAUAUCUGCAUACUGCCAGAAUCACCAAGAUGGCUUAUGGCAACUGGCAAAGUUUUGAGAGCUAUUAAACAAAUGGAACGCGUAGCAAAAAUCAACAACCUUCCCACUGAAGAUAUAGAACGCCAAAUGCAAUUGUAUCUAAUCGAAUGUUUGAGGUCUGGGCAUAGAAAAGGGACUGUGCUAGAUUUGUUUCGAAAUCCCAGCCUGAGGAGAAAUAUUAUUAUAAUGUGUUUUCUCUGGUUUGUUUGUAGCUACAGUUUCUACGGAAUGGCGCAUUAUAUAAGUCACUUGACUGGAAAUGUGCAUCUGAACAUCGUGGCUUGCGGAACAGUGUGUCUUUGUGCUUGCCUCAUUGCAAUCCCACUUAUUAAGGUCUCUAAACGAAAAACCUUAGUAUGUGUCCCAAACGUAAUGUCGAGUGUAUGUUUUUUGUUUAUUAUAUUUAUUCCAGAUGGAAUUGCAUCAAUAAUUAUGGGUUGUUUGGGAAUAUGGUGCAGUUUUUUAGUUUUUAUAGUUAUUUACCUCUAUUGUUCUGAAAUGUUUCCGACAGUAGUUCGAAGUUCAGCGUUAGGAAUAGCGUCAAUGAUGGCGCGGUUAGGCGCGAUGGUAGCACCUUUUGCCGCAGCCUUAAAACCGUUCGGAAGAUGGUGUUCACCAUUAGCAUUCGGAAUUUUACCGCUAGUUGCAGCUCUCCUUUGUUUAGUCUUACCAGAGACAAAGGAUUGCGACUUAAUGAUGACAAUCCCAGACGGGCAAGUUCUCGAAAGAAGAAACACUGAAACUAGUACUGAAGAAGAAAGAUAAUCCAGUUUUAAUCUACUAUGUAAAACAUUUUCAAUACCGAGUUUGUAAAGUACAUACAAAAUAAACUACUGUAAUCUAAAACGUUUUACAAAUGAUUGUAAUUUUAUUGUUUGUUAAUGAUGAAUGGUUUUCUACCUUCAUAAUCUAGAUUUGCCAUAUCUUCUACUUAAUCCAACGUUAUGUAACUCGUAAAUUAUUGAAUUUGAACUAAGUUUCUAAGGAUUCUAAUCUAUUGAUGGAAUUUCUACGGCUUCCCCAGUCGACCGUCAGUUUAUGCCUGCCGACAUGGCGGCAGGCCCAAUCAUUUGUGGUGCUUGGUAUUUCACCAUAUUAGCUGGGUUUUACAUCCUUUACUGUCCGGUAAUGUAUUUGAUGUUUAUCAAUCAUCACUUAUACAGGAAGAUAGUAGAUUUACUCUUUGCAUUAUGGGAGCUGUACCCCGUC